GAUGAACGCUAGCGACAGGCCUAACACAUGCAAGUCGAGGGGUAGCACAGGAUAGCUUGCUAUUUGGGUGACGACCGGCGCACGGGUGAGUAACGCGUAUGCAACCUGCCUAUAAGAGGGGGAUAGCCUUUCGAAAGAAAGAUUAAUACCGCAUAAUACUAUUUACCUGCAUGGGUAAAUAGUUAAACUAUUUGGCUUAUAGAUGGGCAUGCGUUCCAUUAGAUAGUUGGUGAGGUAACGGCUCACCAAGUCAGCGAUGGAUAGGGGUUCUGAGAGGAAGGUCCCCCACACUGGUACUGAGACACGGACCAGACUCCUACGGGAGGCAGCAGUGAGGAAUAUUGGUCAAUGGGCGAGAGCCUGAACCAGCCAAGUCGCGUGAAGGAUGAAGGUCUUAUGGAUUGUAAACUUCUUUUAUAAGGGAAUAAAAAAGAUCACGUGUGGUCUAUUGCAUGUACCUUAUGAAUAAGCAUCGGCUAACUCCGUGCCAGCAGCCGCGGUAAUACGGAGGAUGCGAGCGUUAUCCGGAUUUAUUGGGUUUAAAGGGUGCGUAGGCGGUUUAUUAAGUCAGUGGUGAAAGUUUUCGGCUCAACCGGAAAAUUGCCAUUGAAACUGAUAGACUUGAGUGUAAACGAGGUAGGCGGAAUUCGUGGUGUAGCGGUGAAAUGCNNAGAUAUCACGAAGAACUCCAAUUGCGAAGGCAGCUUACUANGGCUACAACUGACGCUGAAGCACGAAAGCGUGGGGAUCAAACAGGAUUANAU
rnacentral:rRNA from 1 species